rnacentral:lncRNA from 1 species
CCAAUUUAUAGCCUGCUAUUAUACUUGUUCUAACCCAUUUUCCCUCUCUCUUCUUCAUGUACACAUAAAUACGGCGUGACAAACCUUGAAACCUGUUUAACUUACUUAGAGCAUCUCCAACAGACAGCCUAAAUUAGGCUCUCCAAAUACUUAUUUGGCAACUCUCUAUUUCAUUUGGCCACUCAAAUUUGUUUUUUACUUCAAUAGUCUCUCCAUCCACCCUCCCUAUUCCGAGUCUAUGACAGUUGGGUCCCACAUGUCAUCCUCUUCUCUCCCUCAAUCUCUUUUCUCCCUCUUUUAUUUUUCUCUCUUUCUUUCUCACCCGAAGCAGGCGGUGGCGCAGGGAGUCGCGGGAGGCAGCGC